rnacentral:lncRNA from 1 species
ACUGCUUCCCAGGAACCCAGAGGCCCACACCAGCUCCCACUGCCACCACCAAGGUUAUGUUAUGCUCACCAGCCUCAGACUCUGUGUCUACAAAACAGGAAUGCAGAGGAGAGCUGCUGUGAGAACCUGCUGACCCACCCUACACCAAAUCCUGGGCUUGCAAUCAGUCCAGGUUCACGGAGGUCCUGCUGCACAGCGUGUGACUGGUCCCAUGCUGGGCACUUCAGCCCAAGAGAUAACAAGACACAGGGGGCAGCCCGGAGGACACUCAGGGCCAUAAGGAGACAGACAGGGGUUCGAAUCUCUUGGAGCCAACCCAGUGGUGACAAGUACACUUAGGUUCUGGGGAGGACAGUAAGGAGGGGGUACUGUGUAGGGAAGGAUGAAGUGGGGAGCAGAAAGGUCCAGAGAGGGAACAACACAGGCAAAGCACAGAAUGAAGAGCCAUACCAAAGAGAAAGGAGAGAGAGAGGCUGUGCCUGCCAAGCAGUCCCGACCUCCAUGGCUGACCAGGUGGGCGAGCACGGACCAGGCACUUCACACGUUCUCGAGGGGCAGGAUGCCGCCAUCACACCUGCACCCCAGGACACCGUCUCCGGACAGCCGGC